ensembl:lncRNA
CAAAGGCUGAAAGGGCUGCACUUUUACAGUCUGAGGCUGCUUUGAGAAAAUUGCAUGACAUUGACGCUGAAAAAGAAGCCCUUCAAAUGGAAAAGGCAAAGCUGAAAAGGAAAAAGCAACAGCUAGAGGUUGAGGCCAAGUCGGCUGCUGCUACAGCUAGAUUGUCUAUGUUUGAAAAUGUGUGUGGUGUUGAAGAUGUGGAUGAGUAUGAAGAGAAUAAUGGAGAAGAUUCCAUGAAUGCCUAUCUUCAUGCUCAUUUGAAAUCACAAACAUCAAGUUAUUUGAACAAAGCUCCUGUCUUGCAGCUUUCUAAAACUGUCUCUUUCCAACAGGACCAUUCUCAGCCAUUGGCUGUACAGCCUAGAGGAAGGCUGCACAUUCCACAAGCCCAGUCUUCAGUAAGGUCUGGUUAUCCUUUGUCUUCAGUGUCAUAUGCCCCAUCUUCUGACAGGUCUGAAGUGCAGGGGAACAUCCUUGGAACCAGACCCACUAACGCUGCACCAGCAGGACUUCAGCUGUUGAUCUCACAAGGGAGUCGGCUUUCAGUCUUUUUAAGGGACUGCUGCAAAGGGACAAGUAACAGCAGUGAAGUCUUGGCCAGUAUUCCUGAGCCACGGCACUCCAAGACCACCAGGGGGCUUAAUCUGGAUCAAAUGGCAAGUCCUGUCGAAACAGCUCUUGGUCUUCAUUGGUGCAUAGAUGCAGAUGUUUUGACCUUUAGGAUAGCCAUAGAAGAGCGCCCACAUACAAGACGUGGCAUAUUGUCUGUGGUGUCGUCUAUCUAUGACCCCUUGGGUUUUCUUGCACCAUUUACUUUGCCUGUUAAAAGGAUGCUACAAAAGAUGUGCAGGCUGAACAUCGGCUGGGGUGCCAGCAUACCUCGUGUCUUCUCCGAGCAGUGGUCCAAAUGGCUGGCUAAUCUCCAUCACAUCACUGAGCUCACAGUGGACCGGUGCAUCAAGCCAAAAGACUUUGGAACACCUACUCACCUGCAGUUGCAUCACUUCUCUGAUGCCAGUGAGUAUGGCUACGGAACUGCAUCAUAUCUGAGGAUGGAGAAUGAGAGAAACCACGUUAGUAUUGCUUUUAUCUUGGGCAAGGCUAGGGUCACUCCUUUAAAGCAAACAACAGUUCCUCGUCUUGAGCUGACUGCUGCUGUCCUGGCCGUCUGGGUGGACAAGUUGCUGAAGAGGGAGUUGCAGCUU